UACGUAGGGCGCGAGCGUUGUCCGGAAUUAUUGGGCGUAAAGAGCUCGUAGGCGGCCGGUUGCGUCUGCUGUGAAAACUCGGGGCUUAACUCCGGGCCUGCAGUGGGUACGGGCAGACUAGAGUGCGGUAGGGGAGACUGGAAUUCCUGGUGUAGCGGUGAAAUGCGCAGAUAUCAGGAGGAACACCGGUGGCGAAGGCGGGUCUCUGGGCCGUAACUGACGCUGAGGAGCGAAAGCGUGGGGAGCGAACAGG
rnacentral:rRNA from 1 species